UACAGAGACUGCAAGCGUUGCUCGGAAUCACUGGGCGUAAAGGGUGCGCAGGCGGUUGAAUGUGUCAGAUGUGAAAUCUCGGAGCUUAACUCCUAAAGUGCAUUUGAAACUGUUCAGCUAGAGUGCUAAAGGGGUAAGCGGAAUUCCGUGUGUAGCAGUGAAAUGCGUAGAUAUACGGAAGAACAUCAAAGGCGAAGGCAGCUUACUGGGUAGCAACUGACGCUAAUGCACGAAAGCGUGGGGAGCGAAA
rnacentral:rRNA from 1 species